GACGAACGCUGGCGGCGUGCCUAAUACAUGCAAGUCGAGCGAAUCUUUAGAAGCUUGCUUCUAAAGAUUAGCGGCGGACGGGUGAGUAACACGUGGGCAACCUGCCUAUAAGACUGGGAUAACUACGGGAAACCGGAGCUAAUACCGGAUAAUUCUUUUCUUCACAUGAGGGAAAGCUGAAAGACGGCGUAAGCUGUCACUUACAGAUGGGCCCGCGGCGCAUUAGCUAGUUGGUGAGGUAACGGCUCACCAAGGCAACGAUGCGUAGCCGACCUGAGAGGGUGAUCGGCCACACUGGGACUGAGACACGGCCCAGACUCCUACGGGUGGCAG
rnacentral:rRNA from 1 species